CUUCGUGAAGCCGACACCCAAGUCCAGGCCUGCUGACCCCUAGUCCAGUGCUUGUGGUGGCUACUGGGCCCUGAACUAGGGGUCUGGAGACCUGGGUUUGAUCUCCACAGGCUUUGCGUC
rnacentral:pre_miRNA from 14 species